UGGGGAAUAUUGGACAAUGGGCGCAAGCCUGAUCCAGCAAUGCCGCGUGUGUGAAGAAGGCCUUCGGGUUGUAAAGCACUUUUAUCAGGAGCGAAACGCUGUCGGCUAAUACCCGGCGGAACUGACGGUACCUGAGGAAUAAGCACCGGCUAACUUCGUGCCAGCAGCCGCGGUAAUACGAAGGGUGCAAGCGUUAAUCGGAAUUACUGGGCGUAAAGCGUGCGUAGGCGGUUUCUUAAGUCUGCUGUGAAAUCCCCGGGCUCAACCUGGGAAUGGCAGUGGAUACUGGGAGGCUAGAGUGUGUCAGAGGGUGGUGGAAUUCCCGGUGUAGCGGUGAAAUGCGUAGAGAUCGGGAGGAACAUCAGUGGCGAAGGCGGCCACCUGGGACAACACUGACGCUGAGGCACGAAAGCGUGGGGAGCAAACAGGAUUAGGAUACCCUGGUAGUCCACGCCCUAAAGCGAUGCGAACUGGAUGUUGGUCUCAACUCGGAGAUCAGUGUCGAAGCUAACGCGUUAAGUUCGCCGCCUGGGGAGUACGGUCGCAAGACUGAAACUUAAAGGAAUUGACGGGGUCAUAGCUGUUUCCAUG
rnacentral:rRNA from 1 species